GUGUAAACUUGCUCAGUGUGACCUGACGCAAACUUUAUUAAUGUUCUUAUUACUAUCUAGCAACAUAUAACAUUAUAUCUGACAACAUUACAAGUUUUGGCAACAUAAGAUUACAUAAAUAUCGAUAACAAUGUGGUAUUUAUUACAAUUAAUUAAAAAAUUUUUUUUUUCUUGCUUUAAUUUAAUUUUAUUUUAAGAUUAAGCUCAGGUUAGCCCGCUCGGCCGAGUGGCUGCUGGUCCGGCCACCGAGGAUGCGUUGCCUGUGGAUUGGCUCGAUCAACCGAGUGGCUGCUGGUCCGGCCACCCGGGAUGCGUAUGGGUCUGGAGGAUGUUUUGACUUUUGAUGUGCGGAGAAUUUGGUUUGCUGCAGAUUUGGUUUAUAUUUUGUAGGUUUGGUGGUAAAUUGUCGGCAUUCAAGUUAAGUAAUUUUAGUUUUUAUAUUUUUUGGCUUUUAUUGAAUAUAUUUUUUUUUUUUAUUUUCAAGUUGAUUCCCUGGAUGUUGUGUUGGGAUGUCUUCUGGUUGCUUGCUUAGUUGCUGACGUUUUAAAUUUUGUUUUAUUUUCAGGUUUGCUGCAGAUUUGGUUUAUAUUUUAUAGGUUUGGUGGUAAAUUGUCGGCAUUCAAGUUAAGUAAUUUUUGUU